GACGAACGCUGGCGGCGUGCUUAACACAUGCAAGUCGAACGGAAAGGCCCUGCUUUUGUGGGGUGCUCGAGUGGCGAACGGGUGAGUAACAAGUGAGUAACCUGCCCUUGACUUUGGGAUAACUUCAGGAAACUGGGGCUAAUACCGGAUAGGAGCUCCUGCUGCAUGGUGGGGGUUGGAAAGUUUCGGCGGUUGGGGAUGGACUCGCGGCUUAUCAGCUUGUUGGUGGGGUAGUGGCUUACCAAGGCUUUGACGGGUAGCCGGCCUGAGAGGGUGACCGGCCACAUUGGGACUGAAAUACGGCCCAGAGUCCUACGGGAGGCAGCAGUGGGGAAUAUUGCACAAUGGGCGGAAGCCUGAUGCAGCAACGCCGCGUGCGGGAUGACGGCCCUCGGGUUGUAAACCGCUUUCGCCUGUGACGAAGCGUGAGUGACGGUAAUGGGUAAAGAAGCACCGGCUAACUACGUG
rnacentral:rRNA from 1 species